rnacentral:lncRNA from 1 species
GUCAGUUACCAUGAGACUGGGCUUGUUAUAAAAGUGAGUUCAGGCCUCUCUUGAUCUUGCUUUCUCUGGAGCAUCCUUUCUUGACCUUCCACCUUCCUUUUCCACCUUCCACUAUGAAAUGAUGCAACAGGAAGGCUCUCCUUAGAUGCUAGCACUUUGAUAUUGGACUUUUAAACCUCCAAGACUUUCCACGUGGCUGGGGAAGCCUCAUGAUUAUAGCAGAAGGCAAGGAGGAGCAAGUCACAUCUUACAUGGAUGGCAGCAGGCAAAGAGGGAGCUUGUGCUGAUCAAACCACCAGAUUUUGUGAGAUUUAUUCACCAUCACAAGAACAGCACAAGGAAGACCCUCCCCCACAAUUCAAUUACCUCCCACCAUGUCCCUCCCACAACACGUGGGAAUUCAAGCCCUGCUCCAAGGCUAGAUGAAAUCUUCACUCUUGCCAGAGCCAUUCUCAAUAAACAUUUGCUGAAGAAAUGCUUGCUACCUGAAUGAAUGAUCAGAAGCCGGAAAAAUCAGCUUUCAAAAGGAGCUUAGGAACAAGCAGAGAGAAAAUCCCACCUCAAAGGAUCUGGAGAACUGGCCAGAGAUCACCCCAGAAGAGAGUACAGGAGCCAGGAUUUGGACGCAGGUCUCUCUGACUCAAAUCCUUUUCUCUUUCCCUUACUUCAUCCUCCCCCUCAUCUCCUGAAAAUUAGAAGCCGGAUCCUGGAAUACACACAGAAAACCCUCCACCCAUUUUAAGGAUACAUCAAGAUCAAAACUCAUUGAUAUUGUAAUCUUACUAGUUUGAACUUUAAAACAUUUUACUGCCAUAUGGGGACUGGCUUCAAAGAAAUGUUUUAGUGGUGUUACGUUUAAUGCCUUGUGUUUAUGUAGAAUUACAUAUCCUAU